rnacentral:rRNA from 1 species
CCGGCGCACGGGUGAGUAACGCGUAUGUAAUCUACCUGUAACAGAGGGAUAACCCGGAGAAAUCCGGACUGAUACCUCAUAGCACAUAUUAUUCGCAUGAAUUUUAUGUUAAAGAGACUCGGUUACAGAUGAACAUGCGUUCCAUUAGCUAGUUGGCGGGGUUACGGCCCACCAAGGCAACGAUGGAUAGGGGUUCUGAGAGGAAGGUCCCCCACACUGGUACUGAGACACGGACCAG